rnacentral:lncRNA from 10 species
UCAGUGGCCUGCGGUGUGCCGGUGCCCAUUGGUGCCUUCCUCUUGAUGUCCAGCGCCCUUGUGUUCCUCCGCUGAUGUGCUCCUCUCGAAGUCCAGCUGCCUGUGUGUCUGCCUGCUAGGGUCUCAGGGUUUUUAUAGGCACAGAAUGGGAGUGUGGCAGCCAGGGUGGUCUUGGGAACUGUAGUCCCAGCCACUUGGGGGGCCGAGACAGGAGAAUAGAUUGAUCCUGGGAGACGGAAGUUGCAGUGGCCCGAGAUCGCACCACUGCACUCCAGUCUGGUGGCAGAGUGAGACUCCAUCUAAAAAAAUAAAAAAUAAAAAAUAAAUAAAUAAAUAAAAAAUAAAAAUAAAUACUGGGCUAGAAGACCCAGGAGACCCGAAGAUUCUCUCAAAACUAAGGAAAAUAAUCUAGGUCACAAAUAUAUUCUCUUUCUCCUUCUCCCCAUUGCCCCCCUCCACCAGGAAUCUUUAUAGACUCAAAUUGAGUUGAUGUUCUAUAAUCAAUUCUAGUCACUUUUAUUUAUAUUUAUUUAUUUUAGAGAUGGGGGUCUCACUAUGUUGCUCAGGCUGGUCUCAAACUCCUGGGCUCAAGUGAUCCACCCAAGUCGGUCUCCCAAAGUGCUGGGAUUACAGGCACCAGCCACUGAACCUGGCCGUCACUUUUAUUUUUGAUGUUCAAAUUAUAAGCUAAUGCCUGUGAGACCAUAGAUUCUUUUUAUGCACUCAAUACAUUUUCGUGUUUACCUUACAUUUUUAUUAUGGAAAAAUUCUGUUUUUUCCACUUGUUUCUAUUUGAUAAUGAAGCCCUCUGUGCCUAUCACCAGCCUCAGCCGCCAUCAUCUCAUUACCAAGCUGGGUUAUUUUGAAGCAAAUAUCUUCUAAUAUUUAGCCGGCGUUCAAAUUUCCCUAACCAUCCUAAAUGAAUGUUUAGAAUAGUUGUUUUAUUGGAAACAAGGUCAAAACAAGUACAUUUUACAUUUUUAGGCCAGUCUUGAAAGUUAGUGUAAAACCAUGUGUGGGGUAGGAGGUGGGACUAGACUCUCAAGGUGCGGCCAGGAUACCAGACCCAAUUGAGGACUAGCUAAGAGAGAUUCCACAAUGAAUAACACCAGGAGGUGGGAAUAUUAAGGUCUAUUGUGAAGGAUGGCUACCACAAUUAUUAGAUCAACUAAUUAUCAACCCUGACUGCAGCUGAGAGAGAUUUGUUUUCGCUUUUUUUUUUUUUUUUUUCAGAGACAGGGUCUUGCUAUGUUGCCCAGGCUGGACUCAAACUCCUGGGCUCAAGUGAUUCUUCUGCCUCAGCCUCCUGAGUAGCUGAGACUACAGGUGUGUGCCACUGUGCCCAGCAAGAUUUUAAAAAAUACGUAUGCCCGGACACCACUCUAAACCAACUAAAUCAGAAUCAGAUAUAGUGAAGUCAUUAAUCAUUUUGCUCCUGGGUCUUUAUGAUAGUUUUACUCCUGGGAAACUCUUGGGAAUGUGGUAGAGAGACAGAAAGAAGCGGGAAAAUAAGAUUUUAAGAAGUGUUGCUAUGCCUUUUGAAAAUAAUUUUUCUUUGGUGUUUGUCUUGAGGGACGUCGGUAAACAUUUCAAUUGCCUUUAAGUAUGCUUGGAUGCUGGAAUGAUGGUUCUUUGAAUGCAGCAUCAAACUGGCAUUGGGCCACAUGGCAGCCAGCGUGAGCCUUUAUGCCACAUUUAUAAAACAUGAAUGUCAUGAGUCCACUCUCAGGGACCUUACAAUUUGGAGGGUUAGGUCAGAUCCACAAAUCUCUUCUAUCUCAUGGUAAAGGAAACCUGGCAUGUAGCAGGAGAUGGCGUGAUAGCCAUAACAUAUUGCAUGAUUAAUAUUUGUAUUCUUCUGAUCAAUAUUAAACUUUUUGACCCCCUCCAUUGUGUCAUAAAUUUGCUUAAUACAGUUUCUGCCUCAGCGUCAGUUUUUAGGCCUGGCAUAAGCUGUUUGAAACCCAGGCACGUACCCACCUGUCAUCUUUGGCCUAGUUAACACCUCCCCUCCCUGAGUGGUGGUUUGGAGAACCUGCUUGUUCCUCAUCCCACUGAUCCCAAACCCAGGACACCCCACAGCUGUUGACCAUGAUUAAACCUAACGGAGAUUUAAUGCCUUUCUUCUGAUUCUCAGGGACUGACGUUCAUUCACUUAAAUACUUGCAGAGUCAGCCAGGUGUGGUGGCUCACACCUGUAAUCCCAGCACUUUGGGAGGCCAAGGUGGGUGGAUCACGAGGUCAAGAGUUCGAGACCAGCCUGGCCAACAUGGUGAAACCCCAUCUCUACUAAAAAUACAAAAAUUAACUGAUGUAGCAGUGCGUGCCUGUAAUCCCAGCUGCUCAGGAGGCUGAGGCAGGGGAUUUGCUUGAACCUGGGAGGUGGAGGUUGCAGUGAGCCAAGAUUAUGCCAUUGCACUCCAGUCUGGGCAGCAGAGUGAGAUUCCGUCUCAAAAAACAACCCAAAAACUUCCAGAGUGAAUUCAGGAAACCAUGAAGUCCAGAGUUUGAUCGAAUCCCUUCCUUUUUCUCUUUCUCAAAUAUUUUGAGCCAGGUACUAUUCUAGAUUGUCUUGUGAUAUUUACAAUCUAGGAGAAGGCAGGAGAGAGAACUAAGAAGAGAGAGCAUGUUCUGAGAUGUCUGCUGUGUUUGCAGUUACCUUCCCUCAAUUUCCCUACUCAUUGGCCAUGCUAGAAAGCAGGUCUUGGCGCCAUAUUUGUACUAUGGUGCUUCCCCUCCCUAUACUCAAUUGGUUGGCCAGAAGCCCAAUUAUCAUUCUCUCUCUGUCUCUCUCUCUCUCUCCCUCUCCCUCUCUCCCUCCCUCCCUCUCCAAGAUAUCCAGUAACAGACUGAUCAGCUGGUGGUGGGUUCUGCUGGCUGCCAUGAUGGGCCACCAGCAAAAAGGGAAAAUUGGUUGUGAGUGAGAGAAGCAGAGAUAAGAAAGUCCACAGGGCUGAUAAGAAAGACCAAGGGCUGCCGGGAGCGGUGGCUCAUGCCUGUAAUCCCAGCACUUUGGGAGGCCAAGACGGGUGGAUCAGGAGGUCAGGAGACCGAGACCAUCCUGGCUCACACGGUGAAACCCCAUCUCUACUAAAAAUACAAAAAAUUAGCCAGGUGUGGUGGCUGGUGCCUCUAGUCCCAGCUAAUUGGUAGGCUGAGGCGGGAGAAUGGCGUGAACCCUGGGAGGUGGAGCUUGCAGUGAGCUGAGAUAGCACGACUGCACUCCAGCCUGGGCGACAGAGCAAGACUGUGUCUCAAAAAAAAAAAAAAAAAAAAAAAAGAGACCAUGGGCUUCUGAGAGCCAGAAAGAGGCAUUUUGGUUUCUGUAACUGCAGUUUCCAUUCUCUCAUGGCCUCUCAUUUGUUUCUUGUGCCCAUGAGUUUGCCUGUUAGAGAUAAGGUGUGCUCCUUUCCCUCCAGCUCAUGCAAAUGGGUUUCUGUUACUUACAAUCAUUGUUCCCAGAUAUGGGUGGUGACUGAUGCUCUACUAAAUACUGAAAAAAAGCAGAAUGGAAGCACAGAAAAGAGGGCUUCUCUGAGGAGGUGACGUUAGAGCCCAGUUGGAAGGCAGGAGUAAAUGUGCACUGUGAUUUUUUAGGAUUAAAACCAAGUAUCUCACUGCUUGGGCACAUGUAGAUAGAGGUGAUUUAAUAUUAAACUGUCCCAGUUGUAUCCAUUGUCAGUUACCUCACCACAGGGAUUAUGUAGCCAUGAGUUUGGUUAGUGCUUAUUUAUUUUAGGUUGUUGUUUUUCCAAACCUCUUAAAUGAUACGUGUUUGGAACAGGUGAUAGCAUUGUUCAUUGAUGUUGUGGACAAACCACUCUUUUAUUACUCAAGACUGGGUAAUUUAUAAAGAAAAAGAGGUUUAAUGGGCUCACAGUUCCAUGUGGCUGAAGAAGCCUCAAAAUCAUGGUGGAAGGCAAAAGGCACAUCUUACAUGGUGACAGACAAGUGUGAUGAGAGCUAUUUUGGUCAUUGUUCACUGGCCAUAGAAUUUACUUCUAUAUUUUGAAUUAAGACAAGAGCCAGGCACACAAGACGGUUACAGGUCUGUUUUUUGUUUUUGAUGAUGAUGAUGAUGAUGAUGAUGAUGAUGAAGUGGCUGACAUGGUUCAUGACUUGCUGUUUCUCAUCAUCUCAGAGCUGGAUUUUUGGCUGGACUAUUGGCUUGGGAUGGAUGAAAAUCAUUCCUUGUAUCCCCUGAUCUUAAAGUCAAGACUGAAGCAGCCUCCAGACACAAGCCUUCAUGGGGCUUCAGAUACCAUGAGGAAUGGGCGUCCCUGCAAUAUUGUCAUGGCUGUCAAAAGUGUUAUUGGAGCUGGAGUUCUCCUCAUUGCUCACCCACUGAACCCAGAACAAACCAGAAGUGCUUGAAAUGAGGACGGGUAGCUCCAUGUACCAAUCGGAAUUUAAAACUGUCAAUUCCUGCUACAGAAAUGAGGCUUCUCCCCAGGACCAGCAUUCCAUGAAGGCAGCCCUUUUCUAGAUGGAGAAAACAGAACCUGAAGGCACCCGUUUCCCUAAACUGCUCUCGCUCAUGUGUAAGUACAAAUGAAAAAUGCUGACGCUGCUUCUGUUGGCAUUGCUUUAUAAUUACGGCCAUCAAUAAAUCAUUUUAUCCUUGAACAAGACUUGAGAAUGGCCCGAAGACAGAGGCAUGAUUCGUUAGGAAUUAGGCCAACAGAGAAUGGGCUCUCUCUCUUCCCACCUCUUCUCUUACUCUGCUGUCAGAAACAGAAAGGUUCUCUGUGAGUAGCUGGGAGCAGACGGCCGCACUUGAGUUCCAUCGGGGGUUCUGUUGAUACAGUUUUACCCCAGCCUGCCUUGAUGGCCACUGCCACACAAGCUGCAUCUGUUCUUUCUUCUGCACCUUUUGUUACUUCGUUGUUUUUCCUCUUUCUAGUGUAGUGAGCUGAAUGGUGGCUUUGCACAAGAUAUAUCCAGAUCCUUGUGCCUAGAAUCCGUGGAGGUGGCAUUAUUUGGAAAAAGCGUUUUUGCAGAUGUAAUUAAGUUAAGGAUCUUGAGAUGAGAUUAUCCUGGAGUAUUUUAGGUAGGCUGUACAUCUAAUGACAAAUGUCCUUAUAAGAGGACACUUUUAUCAGGGCACAGUGGCUCAUGCCAGUAAUCCCAGCACUUUGGUAGGCUGAGGCGGGUGGAUCAUCUGAGGUCAGGACUUUGAGACCAGCCUGACCAACAUGGAGAAACCCAAUCUCUACUAAAAAUACAAAAUUAGCCGGGCAUGGUGGCGCGUGCCUGCAAUCCCAGCUACUGGGGAGGCUGAGGCAGGAGAGUUGCUUGAACCCAGGAGGAGGAGGUGGCAGUGAGCUGAGAUCAUGCCAUUGCACUCCAGCCUGGGCAACAAGAGUGAAACUCCAUCUCAAAAAAAAAAAAAAAGAAGGACACUUUUUCACGCGCAUCCGUGUGAAGAGACCACCAAACAGGCUUAGUGUGAGCAAUAAAGCUGUGUAUUUCACCUGGGUGCAGGCAGGCUGAGCCCAAAAAGAGUCAGCGAAGGGAGAUGGGGUGGGGCUGCUUUAUCGGAUUUGGGUAGGGAAGGAAAAAGGGGUUGUUCUCUGGCAGGCAGGAGUGGGGGUCACAAGGUACUCAGUAGGGGAGCUUUUGAGCCAGGAUGAGCCAGGAGAAGGAAUUUCACAAGAUAAUGUCAUCAGUUAAGGCAGGAACAGGCCAUUUUCAUUUAUUUUGUGGUAGAAUGUCAUCAGUUAAGGCAGGAACCGGUCAUCUGGAUGUGUACGUGCAGGUCACAAGGGAUAUGAUGGCUUAGCUUGGUCUCAGAGGCUUGACGUUCCUGUCUUCUUAUAUUAAUAAGAAAAAUAAAACGAAAUAGUGGUAAAGUGUUGGGACGGCAAAAAUUUUUGGGGAUGGUAUGGAGAGGUAAUGGGCGAUGUUUCUCAGGGCUGCUUUGAGCGGGAUUAGGGGCAGCAUGGGAACCUAGAGUGGGAGAGAUUAAGCUGAAGGAAGAUUUUGUGGUAAGGGGUGAUAUUGUUGGGUUGUUAGAAGAAACAUUUGUCAUUUAGAAUUAUUGGUGAUGGCUUGGAUACAGUUUUGUAUGAAUUGAAAAACUAAACAGAAUAAGAGAAGGAGAAAAACAGGUAUUAAAGGACUAAGAAUUGGGAGGACCUAGGACAUCUAAUUAGAGAGUGCCUAAUGAGGUUCAGCAUAGCCUUGCCAGCAAAGAUUAUGUAUUUAAGAGUUAAGAGUGGUGGUUUGGGGAUAGUAACAGUAGAUAUCAGCUGUGAUGGCUUGGAGAAACAGUGUAAACCACCAGUGUAAACAAGAGCAGGACAUGUAUGAGUUGUUGAGAACGAUGAAUAGGAGUAUGACUAGACAGAAGAUAGUAGGGAUGACAAGUUUUUUGGGGCACAGUCCAAGUUGGUCUGGUGUCUGGAAUGAGACUGGGGCCUAAUAAAAAGGAGCGUCUAUACAGGAGCUCAAAUGGGCUGUACCUUGUAGCAUUCCAAGGACAGGCCUGACUUCUGAGAAGGGAAAGUGCUAAAAGUAUUGUCCAGUCCUUUUUUAGUUGGUGGCUGAGCUUGGUGAGGUGUGCUUUUAAAAGACCAUUAGUCUGUUCUACCUUUCCUGAAGACUGAGGACUGUAAAGGAUAUAAAGGUUUCACUGAAUACUAAGAGCCUGAAACAAUGUUUGGCUGAUUUGACUAAUAAAGGCCAGUCUACUAUUGGACUGUAUAGAGGUGGGAAGGCCAAACUGAGGAAUUAUGUCUGACAGAAGGGAAGAAAUGACCGUGGUGGCCUUCUUAGACCCUGUGGGAAAGGACUCUACCUAUCCAGUGAAAGUGUCUACCUAGACCAAAAGGUGUUUUAGUUUCCUGAAUCGGGGCACGUUGAGUAAAGCUAUUAUGUCAGUCCUGGGUGGGGGCAAAUCCCUGAGCUUGAUGUGUAGGGAAGGGAGGGGGCCUGAAUAAUCCCUGAGGAGUAGUAGAAUAGCAGAUGGAACACUGAGAAGUUAUUUCUUUGAGGAUAGAUUUCCACAAUGGAAAGGAAAUAAGAGUUUCUAAGAGGCGGGCUAGUGGCUUGUACUAUAGCAUAGCCUGCCUUUGCUGGUGUGUGGCGAGUAGGCCUGGUGGAACUGCCAUCAAUAAACUAAGUGUGAUCAGGGUGAGAAACAGGGUAGAAGGAAAUGUGGGGAAAUGGCGAGAAUGUCAGGUGGAUCAGAGAGAUACAGUCAUGAGGGUCAGGUGUGGUAUCAGGAAUAAUGUGGGAGGCCGGAUUGAAGUCCGGGCCAGGAACAAUGGUACUUACGGGAGACUUAACAAAGAGUGAGUACAGCUGAAGGAGCCGGGGAGCAGAAAGUAUAUGCAUCAGGUGUGAGGAAGAAAAUAGAUUUUGGAAAUUAUGAGAACUGUAGAGAGUGAGUUGAGCAUGGUUUGUGAUUUUAAGGGCCUCUAAAAGUAUUAGGGCAGCAGCAGCCACUGCACGGAGAUAUAAUGGCCAGCCUAAAACAGUAAGGUCAAGUUGUUUGGACAAAAAGCCUACAGGAGGCAAUCGUGGUCCUUGUGUAAGAAUUUCGACUGCACAGCGCUGCAUUUCGGUUGUGUGUAAUGAAAAGGGUGGGGAUGAGUCAGGGAGAGCUAGGGUGGGGGCAGUCUUUAAAGCUGUCUUCAAGGAACAGAAAGAGGGGUGGGGAAAGGAUUUAAGAUCUAUGGGGUCAGCUAGGUUUCCUUUUUUGAGUUUAUAUAAUGGUUUUGUUAGGAUGGCAAAACCAGGUAUCUAAAGGCAAAAGUAUCCAACCAUGCCCAGGAAGGAAAGGAGUUGUUUUGUAGCUGGGGUUGGGGUUUGAGAGAUUAGUCGGACACGAUCGGCAGGGAGAGCACAUGUGUUCUUAUGAGAAUUAUGCUGAGAUAGGUAACAGAUAAGGGAGAAAUUUGAGCUUGACUGAAGUAAUGGGGGCUGUCUGUGAAGCUUUGCGUCAGUACAGCCCAGGUAAUUUGCUGAGCCUGAUGGGUGUCAGGGUCAGUCCAAGUGAAAGCGAAGAGAGGCUGGGAUGAAGGGUGCAAAGGAAUAGUAAAGAAAGCAUACUUGAGAUCCAGAACAGAAUAAUGGGUUGUGGAGGGAGGAAUUGAGGAUAGGAGAGUAUAUGCGUUUGGCACCAUGGGGUGGAGAGGCAAAACAAUUUGGUUGAUAAGGCAAAGAUCCUGAACUAACUUGUAAGGCUUGUCUGCUUUUAGGACAGGUAAAAUGGGGGCAUUGUAAAGAGAGUUUAUAGGCUUUAAAAGGCCAUGCUGUAGCAGGCGAGUGAUAACAGGCUUUAAUCCUUUCAAAGCAUGCUGUGGGAUGUGAUAUUGGCAUUGAGAGGGGUAAGGGUGAUUAGGUUUUAAUGAGAUGGUAAGGGGUGCAUGAUCGGUCGCCAAGGAGGGAGUAGAGGUAUCUCCUACUUGUGGGUUAAGGUGGGUGGCAAUGAGAUGUAGCUAUAGUCCAGGAAUACUCAGGGAAGCAGAUAAUUUAGUUAAAGUGUCUCAGCCUAAUAAGGGAACUGGGCAGGUGGGGAUAACUAAAAAGGAGUGCUUAAAAGAGUAUUGUCUAAGUUGGCACCAGAUUUGGGGAGUUUUAAGAGGUUUAGAAGCCUGGCCGUCAAUACCCACAACAGUUAUGGAGGCAAGGGAAACAGGUCCUUGAAGAGAAGGUAAUGUGGAGUGGGUAGCCUCCAUAUUGAUUAAGAAGGGGACGGACUUACCCUCCACUGUGAGAGUUACCUAGAGCGUCUGUGAUGGUCCUGUAGGCUUCCGAAGUGAUCGAUCAGGCAUUGUCAGUCUUCAGCUGCUAAGCCAAGAAGAUCUGGGAAGGAGUCAGUCAGAGAGCCUUGGGCCAGAGUUUCAGGGGCUCUGGGAGUGGCUGCCAGGUGAAUGGAACAGUCCAAUUUCUAGUGGGGUCCUGCAAAGAUGGGACAUGGCUUAGGAGGAAUCCCGGGCUGUGGGCAUUCCUUGGCCUGGUGGCCAGCUUUCUGGCACUUGUAGCAAGCUCCUGGGGGAGGCGGUUCUGGAGGAACACCUGGCCACUGCGCUUUAGACGUUUGGAAGUUCUUGUGUGCUGGAGAUGUGGCUGGGGUUUGUCUCACUGUGGAGGAAAAGAAUUACAACUCAGAAAUAUGUUGCUUCUUGGCUGCCUCUACUCUAUUAUUGUACACCUUGAAGGCGAGGUUAAUUAAGUCCUGUUGUGGGGUUUGAGGGCCAGAAUUUAAUUUUCAGAGCUUUAUUUAAUGUCGGGAGCAGAUUGGGUAAUACAAUGUAGAUUGAGAAUAAGACGGCCUGUUGACCUUUUAGGGUCUAGGGCUGUAAAGCAUCUCAGGGUUGCUGCCAAAUGAGCCACGAACUGGGCUGGAUUUUCAUAUUUGAUGAAAAAGAGCCUAAACCCUAUCUGAUUUGGGAUAAAGAAAAAGGAACAUUAACCUUGACUGUGCCUUUAGCUCCAGACACCUUAUUAAGAGGAAAUGGCUGGGCAGGUGGAGGAGGGCUAGUCAUGGAAUGAAACUGUAAGCUGGAGCUGGUGUGAGGAGGGGAGGUGAUAAAAGGAUUAUAGGGUGGAGGAGCGGAGGCUGAGGAAGAAUUGGGGCCUAGCUCAGCCUGGUGAGGAGGGGAGAUGUCAGGUUAGUCUGCAGAAAAGGAAGAUUAGAAAGACUCAGUGACGCUUGUGGUUGGGACUGAGGGGACAGGUGGGACGGAAAGAAGGAAUAUUUGGGAUGAGUUGCACUAGGAACAGACUAGGGAGGGACCAAUGUGUAAAAGAAUGCCUGGACGUCAGUCACCUCAGACCGUUUGCCCAUUUUACGACAAGAAAUAUCUAGAUCUUGUAGGAUGGAAAAAUUGAAAGUGUCAUUUUCUAGAUAUUUGGAAAUACUGUCGAGUUUGUAUUGGGGUCAAGAGGCAUUGUGGAAGAAAAUAAGGCAUUUAGGUUUUAGGUCAGGUGUGAGUUGAAGAGGUUUUAGGUUUUUAAGAACACAGGCUAAGGGAGAAGAAGGGGGAAUGGAGGGCAGAAACUUGCCCAUAGUGAAGGAGGUAAGCCUAGGGAAAAGAGAGAGUAGAGACACAGAGAUAAGGGGUGGGGGGUUCUUGCCUUCCAGAAAAGCGAGAAAGGGGUUGGGGUGUAGAAAUAAAGGGUUGUGGUGCAGAGCUAAGAGGUCAGAGCACAGAAAUAAGGGGUUGGGGUGCAGAGCUAAGAGGUCAGGUCACGGAAAUAAGGGAUAGGGUCACAGAGAUAAGAGUUUGGGGCAUGGAAAUAAAGGAUCGGGGCACAGAGAUAAGAGGGGGUUCCUGCCCCUCCCCCAGAAAAGCGGGACUUGCUGCUAAGGGUGAAGGAGAAGGGGUUGAGGGGUUCUUGCCCCUUCCCCCAGAAAAGCGGGACUUGCCACUAAGGGUGAAGGACCAAGUCAGGCGUCCCUGCGUGGUCUGACACCUCUGAAGCCUGGCUGAAUAAUCAGAGAGGUGUCCCUGCAAUGAUUAAACACCAAGGAAAGGCUGCCUUCCCUAGUCUGUGACAGGCACCGGAAUUUUGGCUCCACGGAUAAAACGUGUCUCCUUUGUCUCUACCAGAAAAUGAAAGGAAUUGAAAUUAAGAGAAGGGAGAGAUUGAAGUGUGGCGCCAAGAUUGAAAGGAGAAAGAGGUUGAGGGAUAGUGAGGGAGGUUGGAGAAGAGAGUAAAAAGAAGCUGCUUCCCAGAUUUGAAAUUGGUGAGAUGUUUCUUGGGCUGGUCAGUCUGAGGACCUGAGGUCGUAGGUGGAUCUUUCUCACAGAGCAAAGAGCAGGAGAACAGGGGAUUGAUCUCCCAAGGGAGGUCCCCCCCCCGCAUCCGAGUCACAGCACCAAAUUUCACAUGGGUGUGUGUGAAGAGACCACCAAACAGGGUUUGUUUGAGCAAUAAAGCUGUUUAUUUCACCUGGGUGCAUGCGGGCUGAGUCCGAAAAGAGUGAGCAAAGGGAGAUAGGGGUGGGGCCAUUUUAUAGGAUUUGGGUAGGUAAAGGAAAAGGGGAGGUUGUUCUCUGGCAGGCAGGAGUGGGGGGUCACAAGGUGCUCAGAAGGGGAGCUUUUGAGCCAGGAUGAGCAAGGAGAAGGAAUUUCACAAGAUAAUGUCAUCAGUUAAGGCAGGAACUGGCCAUCUGGAUGUGUACAUGCAGGUCACAGGGGAUAUGAUGGCUUAGCUUGGGCUCAGAGGCCUGGCACUCUUCCUCCAGAGGAGGAGACCCAGACAGAAGAGAAGAGGAGGAGGCAAGGUGAUCACAGAGGCAGAGAUUGGAUCAUGCAGCCACAAGUUGAGGAAUUCUAAUAGCCUCUAUAAGCUGGAAGAGGCAAGGAAUGGAUUCUCCCCUAGAACCUCUGAAGGAGCAUGGUCCUGCUGACAUUUGAUUGAUUUUGGACUUCUGGCCUCCAGACAUUUUUUUUUCUUUUUUUUUUAGACAGAGCCUUGAUCUGUUGCCCAGUCUGUAGUGCAGUUGCACGAUCUCGGUUCACUGCAACCUCCACCUCCCGGGCUCAAGCCAUUCUCUAGCCUCUGCCUCCCAAGUAGCUGGGCUACAGGUGCAUGCCACCAUGCAUGGCUAAUUUUUGUAUUUUUAGUAGAGAUGAGGUUUUGCCAUAUUGGCCAGGCUGGUCUCGAAUUCCUGGCCUCAAGUGAUCCACCCACCUCAGCCUCCCCAAGUGCUGAGAUUAUUUAGGUGUGAGCCACAGCACCAGGCCCAGACAUUGUUUGAAGCCACCAAUUUCAUGGUUCUUUGCUGCAGUGGUUGUGGAAUAUGAAUGCACUCAUGUUGUUGGUUGGACUUUGCUGACCUUGUGUCUGUUAUUCCCUGGCAGUUCUACAGGGCCUGGAGCUGAUACGAAAAACCUCCCUUCUUUCCCAAAUGGUCCCCAGCUUCCCCGUUCACUGAAGGCCCUGCAGUCGGGAACAGUCAGGACUUUGCACCCAGUUGUUUUGGGUGUUUGGACGACCCUUCCUCUUGUGUGAUUCAUGGACCCGCAGCAUUGCAUCACCCGUGAGCUUUUGGAAUUGAAGACUCUCAGGGCUCACCCGGGAGGACCUGCUGGGCCAGAAUCUGCAUUUUAACAAGAUACCCAGGAAAGAAUGUGCUGGAGAAAAACAGAGACUCCCUCUGGCCUAGAGCUUCACAAGCUUAGCCCCUUCCAGGAGCCACAGAGGAGUUGGGGCAUCGGGAAAGUCUUGGAGGAUACAAGGUGAGUAAGAACACAGUCUUGGCUGGGUGUGGGGGCUCACACUUGUAAUCCUAACACUUUGGGAAGCCAAGGCAGAAGGAUCACUUGAGCCCAGGGGGUUUGAGAAAGCGUGAGCAACACAGCGUGAUCCCAUUUUUAUAUAUAUAUAUAUAUAUAUAUAUAUAUAUAUAUAUAUAAAACUAGUUGGGCGUGGUGGUGCAUAGUUGUAGUCUCAGCUAUUCAGGAGGCUGAGGCAGGAGGAUUGCUUGAGCCCAGAUGUUUAAGGCUGUGGUGAGCUGGGAUUGCAUCACAGCACUCCUGCCUGUGCAAUAGAGCAAGACCCUGUCUCCAAAACAACAACAACAACAACAACAAAACAACAAAUGCCAUCUCCCUUGUCUUCUGAUUCCCUGAGCUGUCAGAGAAAGGACAUGAAGCAGUGAAAGCAUCCUCCCAAAAGGGACUUUUAAAUCCUUCUCCCUGAGCUGAACUCUACAGCGAAAAGGAAGCCAUUCUCACAGAAAGGUCUAUGGGAUCACAGAGUGGAGGGGACCUGAGCCCCAUGUCAUGGGACAAGCCCUGGGAAGAUGGCACCAUUCCCAAGAUACAUGAGUUCUAUCGUUUGCCACCAUUCCCACUGCCUGGACUAAAGUAGAUGCUCAAAGUAUUCCCCAAGUGAAAGAAGGAAUACAGCAUCAGCCUUCUCAAAGAACUCUCCAGUAAGACUUUCCUUCAUCAGCAGCAGGGAAAGCUAAUGAGGGUCAUGUGACCCUGCCUCCCAGGUGAGGUCUGAGAUGUCUGCACUGUGCACCUCCACAGACACAUGGCGGGUACCAUCGGCUUGGCUUUGCAGAGAUACCAUGUGCCCCAGGGAGAAUCUGGGUAGUCAAGUCAGCUCUCUUAGGGAGUCUCUCCCAGAAGGGAUCUUGUGCCAGGGGGAUUGGACUCUGCUGGCUUUGUUUCCUGCUUGGGACCACCAAGCUCCUGGUACCCCCAGGACUCUGUCUAGGUAGCUUGGAGGGCUGUCUACGUGGCUUCUUGGACCUGAAACCUAACUGGACCUGUGCAUGGUCUUGCAGCUCAGAUGUGAAACAGGGAUCACCCCACCUCACCAGCAAUCCCCCUUGUUUUAAACUGCAGUUAAUAACUGGCUGGGCUGAGGGAGCCCCCUUUAUCAUAGUUUAUGUGCAGCCUACCCCCUGGAAUCUGAUGAAGUCUUUGGGUGCUGGCAGUACCAAUUUUUAUCCAUUAUUUUUUCUAUUACGGAUAAUUCCUUUCUGCAUUGGAGUCACCCAGAAGUCGGCUUGAGCCCAGCCACAUGAAGACAAAUGCCAGUGAUUUUGCCGGGUCCCGGGUGCCCUCUGUUUCAUUAAAGCAACAUAUUCGGGAUAUAUAUCUGUUGCCUGGAAGCUUGGGGGUGGGUGAAAUUCAUAGGGGUUUGUAAUGAGGACUUAAUUAGAACUAAAGACACAUGAGGGCUGAGGCUGGAGGAGGGCGGUGGGGGGUGGCAGAGGCAGGGAUGGGCCACCCAGUUCCUUGAACCAUCCAGGGCUGAGAUGGAAUCCUGCCCUGCCUCUCCCCACCUGUGUGACCUCAGCCUCUGAUUUCUCACCUUUAAGGAAGGAACCUGCCUGACUUGCUAUCACUGUUUAGAGAAUUGAAAAGGAGCUGAUGAUUGUGGAAUCUGCUGGACAUUUUCUGAAGCCAGGUACUGGGUUCAACAUGGUAUAUAGUUAUCUCCAGGCACUGGUUCUUAGUUGAGGGUGAAUUUGCACCCCCAGCAGGUACUUGGCAGUGUCUGGAGAUACUUCUGGUUGUCACGAUGGGAACAGGGGUGCCAAUGGCAUCCAUCUGGUCAGUAGAGCGCAGGAAAGCUAGUAACAUCCCACAGUGCCCAGAACAGCCCCAUGCAACAGAGAAUGAUCCUGCCCCAAAUGUCAAUAGUGCUGAGGUCAACAAACCUAUUUCUUGGUUUGGAGGUGGGGGCAGGGUCUCACUGCAUUGCCCAGGUUGGAGUGCAGUGGCACAGUCAUAACCCACUGCAGCCUUGACCUCCUGGGCUCAAGCAAUUCUCCCACCUCAGCCUCCUGAGUAGCUGGAACCAUGGGUGUGCACCACCAAACCUGGCUAACUUUUUAUUUUAAUUUCUUGUAGAGACGGGAUCUUGCUAUGUUGCCCAGGCUGGGCUUGAACUCCUAGGCUCAAGCAGUCCUCCUGCCUUGGUCUCCCAAAGUGCUGGGAUUAUAGGCAUGAGCCAUCACGUGUGGCCAAAAAGCGGUUUUAAUGUUGAAGCAGAGUAAAUAUUCCCCAGUUCAAUACAUGGUCUAUUUGGUUAUAAAUAAGAGGCACACAGGAACAUGUUGUUUCCACAAUGAGUGAACGAAAAAUACUUUAUGUUACAACAGUUUGUUGUUUGUAGGCAAUGAAUAGCUUUGCAUGUACAUCCCUUACCACCAAGCAAAUAUGUCAGCAGGACAAAGUCCUACAAGUGGAAUCGCCAAAUAAGAAAGUUCAUGCAUUAAAAAAAAUUUUUUUUUGAGAAAGGAUCUUGCACUGUCACCCAGGCUAGAGUGCAGUGGUGUGAUCACAGCUCACUGCAGCCUCAACCUCCCAGGCUCAAACAGUUCUCCCACCUCAGCCUCCAGAGUAGCUGGGACUAAAGAUGUUCACCACUAUGCCUGGCUAAUUUUUGUAUUUUUUGUAGAGAUGGGGUCUCAUCAUAUUGCCCAGUCUGGUCUCAAACUCCUGGGUGAAGUGAUCCUCACCCCUUGGCCUCCCAAAGCACUGAGAUUAUAGGUGUGAGUCCCAGUGUUCAGUGCACUAUCUGAUUUUGCCAAAUUACACUUCACUGAAGCCAUACACAUUUCUUUUCUUUCUUUUCCUUUUUUUUUUUUUUUUUUUGAGUUGGAGUUUUGCUCUUGUUGCCCAGGCUGGAUUCUCAUGGCACAAUCUUGGCCCACUGCAACCUCCGCUUCCUGGGUUCAAGUAAAUCUCCUGCCUCAGCCUCCCAAGUAGCUGGGAUUACAGGUGUAUGCCAUCAUGCCCAGCUAAUUUUCUAUUUUUAGUAGAGACGGGGUUUUGCCAUCUUGGCCAGGCUUGUCAUGGACUCCUGACCCUCAGGUGAUCCGCCCGCCUCGGCCUCCCAAACUGCUGGGAUUAUGGGCAUAAGCAACCGCGCCCAGCCUGAAUGUAGAAGAGCAGUGGGGUGAUUCGGUAAUUUUAAAAAUGUGCUCUCUCUGUUUAUAUCUUCUCAUCAAAAUCUGGGAAUAAAUAAAAGGUGGACACGCUGUAUGAUGGUUGGUGCCCAUCAUAUUCUCAGCACUCAGGGAUCCAUCCAGGAUCUGCCCACGGGAGAUCUUUUAAGUGUAAUGAAGUUAACACCACCGGGAAUUGGCUUCCCCUUUCUCUAGAAAAGGGAUAUUUGGCUCCUGCUUCCUGACACUAAGAGCCCACAAAUGACUUGCCUCUCAGAGUUUGCAUGUAGAAAAAUCUACCUCAGCAAAUCUUCCUUUGAAUGGUUGUUCAGCUUUGUUUUUUCAAUUUCUAUUCUUUUUUUUAAAAAAAAAAAUUUAAGAUAGAGUCUCACUCUGUUGCCCAGGCUGCAGUGCAGUGGCGCAAUCUCGGCUUACUGCAGCCUUCGCCUCCUAGGUUUAAGCGAUUCUCAUGCCUCAGCCUCCUGAGAAGCUGGAACUACAGGCGUGGGCCACCACACUUGGCUAAUUUUUGUAUUUCUUUUAGUAGAGAUGGAGUUUCACCAUGUUGGCCAGGCUGAUCUUGAACUCCUGACCUCAGGUGAUCGGCCCGCCUUGGCCUCCCAGAGUGCUGAGAUUACAUGUGCGAACCACCGCACCCAGCCUAUUUUUAAAGUUUCUGAUUCGAGGACGCCUUUGAGAGUCUGAUGAAAGUGAUAAACCCUCUCCCCAGAAGAACGCACCUGCAAUUUGCCUGGAAUCUCCAAGGUUCCAGAAGAUUUCCUGGGCCCCUGAAGAAGCGGCUGUCUGGAUAGGAGUGAGGCUCAUGCCAUCAGGCACUCUGUCUUGCCUCACCUUUCUCUGAGGUGCACUGCCUAAGGGGGACUUCCAGGCUCAGAAAAGCAGGUAGAACCAGUUCCGUGUGGCCAGGGACGCCCCAAUUCCAAGUCUGUCUUCCCUACUUUCUAGCAGAGCAACUGGUCAGUUAUUCAGCAUGUUUUUGUUUUUUUUUUUUGUUUUUGAUACAGAGUCUUGCUCUGUCACCCAGGCUGGAGUGCAGUGACAUGAUCUCGGCUCACUGCAACCUCCACCUCCCGGGUUCAAGCGACUAUCCUGUCUCAGCCUCCCAAGUAACUGGGAUUACAGGCAUGAACUACCACAACCAGCUACUUUUUGUAUUUUUAGUAGAGACAGGGUUUUGCCAUGUUGGCCAGGCUGGUCUCGAGCUCCUGACUCCAGAUGAUCCGCCCACCUCGGCCUCCCAAAACGCUGGGAUUACGGGCAUGAGCCACUGCACCCAGCCUGUUCAGCAUCUCUGAACCUUAGUUUUCUGAUCUGUAGAAUGGGACACUGACUCUGCUAUCGCCUUGUAUCAGAGAUCACGAAAGUGAAGGACUUCACACAGUGCCAGCACCAAGCCUGUGUUUGAGGAAUGGAAGCUAUUAUGAUUUUUUUUAUUACACUUUUAAGUUUUAGGGUACGUGUGUACAACAUGUAUAUUAGUUACAUAUGUAUACAUGUGCCAUGUUGUUGUGCUGCACCCAGUAACUCGUCAUUUAGCAUUAGGUAUAUCUCCUAAUGCUAUCCCUCCCCCUCCCCCCACCCCACAAGAGGCCCCCGUGUGUGAUGUUCCCCUUCCUGUGUCCAUGUGUUCUCAUUGUUUAAUUCCCAGCUAUGAGUGAGAACAUGUGGUGUUUGGUUUUCUGUCCUUGGAAUAGUUUGCUGAGAAUGAUGGUUUCCAGCUUCAUCCAUGUCCCUACAAAGGACAUGAACCCAUCAUUUUUUAU